rnacentral:rRNA from 1 species
UACGUAGGGGGGCAAGCGUUGUCCGGAAUCAUUGGGCGUAAAGAGCUCGUAGGCGGUUUGUCGCGUCGGCUGUGAAAACUCGGGGCUCAACCCCGAGCCUGCAGUCGAUACGGGCAGACUAGAGUGCUGUAGGGGAGACUGGAAUUCCUGGUGUAGCGGUGAAAUGCGCAGAUAUCAGGAGGAACACCGGUGGCGAAGGCGGGUCUCUGGGCAGUAACUGACGCUGAGGAGCGAAAGCGUGGGGAGCAAACAGG